CUAGGGCUGGUGACAUGGAUUCAAACUCUCCUUGUGCUUCUGUCCGUCACAAUGCCAGUUGUCGGUAGGACUAUCGGUUGCCCUUGAAGCAUUUCACAUCUAUUUCUCAUGUGAUCCUCACAACAACCUGUUGACAAAGACAAGGCUGGAUUUAUUGGCUGAGGAGCUAGGGCUGCAACUAUUGGUGCUUCCAACCUAUUCAGUGAUACACUCAGAAAACUGAAAAAAAAAAAAAAAAGCAUCUAUCUAUCUAUCUAUCUAUCUAUCUAUCUAUCAUCUAUGUCUGGGUUUGUACCCAUAUCCAUACCUUACCAUGGAAAAGGGAUGAGGCUGCUGGCCCCAGAGGUGAUAAACUCAGAGUUUCUGGCUGCCCUAGGUCUCGCCUGCCUAUUCCAAGCAUUGAGAAGAGUGAUAUCUCAGCAGCUGGAAACCCAUUCCUUGCCCACCAGUUGGGAAGUUUGAGCUUAGAGAAGUAUGUUAACUAGUUCAAGGUCAAAAAGUGACUCAGAUUCUCUGAGUCCAAAUCUAAAGAGCCUCAAACAUAGACUGAAAUGGGGGUGGCAUUUGUUACCAUCAUUCAGGCUCACUAGAGCUUACUGGCACAGAGAAAUUUCAAAGGGAAGGCCAUUCAUUCCCGUCUGUGUCCACUGGACCAAUCCCUGUCCAGGGAUGCAGUCUGCCUCCUAUCAGGUCUCUUCCUUUCUGAACCAGGGCAGAUUUUUCUAGCUACCUUCUGGAGAAGGGAGUUCAGGGGAGUCUGCACUAAGGUCUCCAGAUCUGGGCUAGUGCUCCACCAUGGGGAGCCAGUAUCUAUUAGAUAGUUAAGGAGCUUCCCUGCUUCUAAAUACAGGUAAAGUGCUCCUCUCUAAUGUGAUCAAAAUGGUAGAUGGUCCAUUAAUUUUGAAUAUUACUUAAAGGGUAACCAUGAGAAAUAUACCCUAGACUUCUUAUUUUAACUUAAAGCAUAUACAAGUAUGUUCAGACAUACUUUUUUUAAAAGUUGGGUCAAGGCAUUUUCUGGGUGCAGGCUUCUAUUAACUGGAGUUUUGUUUUAUCUUUCCUGUAUUAACUAUACUCACAAUCCAUUUGUCCUAUAUAUGCUUAUCAUGUUCCUUCUAUGCGCCUGGCAUAUUCUAGGUGCUGGGGAUACAGCAGUGAACAACACAAAUUCUCCACACUCGUGGAGUCUAUAUUCUGUUGGAAUCUCCUGUCAGUUUCAGUUCAGGUUUCUUCGAAGUAGAAGGAGAAUUUAAAGACCCAAGGCUAUCCAAGUACAGAUCAUGCUAAGAUGUUCAAGAUUUUUUCCCCCUAGUCUUUCCCAUGCUAGCUCAAUAGGAUUUUCGGUCAUUAGGACAAAAGGACAAGUCAUUAUCAAGCCUUUCCAAAACAUAAAAUGUCAGUUUACAUUGGUUUUCACAACA
rnacentral:lncRNA from 1 species